rnacentral:lncRNA from 1 species
UACAAAUUAAUUCGAAGUUCAGAUUGUCAUUGAAGCAUGUGUUGCUCAGUGAUAGUUAGAGCUUUGAAUGAAUUGGGAUCUUCUUGAUUAUUCAACCCGCCAUUGUCAUGCUGGUUUAGCAGGCUAAAUUCAGUUGCUUAGCCGAUAAUGGAGGAUACUGAAUAGUUGAGGAUUUCCUGAACUGUGAUUUAUGAAAUGAUGGAUCAUCAUUUAUGAAUAGAUUAUUAUCAAAGUUUGAUUUGGAAUUAUUCUGUUGUUGAUGAUAUUUAUGAUGAUGUUCUGUUGAUUUACAUUGGCUUCUUGAAUUGAAUUAGAGAAUUGGAUUAUUGUUUUUAUAUAAACCUGUGGACCAGAUUCGUGGUCAUGUUAGGCCAAUGAGUGCCUUGGAUCCAGUGAUAGAGCAUGGCGGGGCCUGCUCGGGGUUAGGUAUGACUGAUCAGCAUCCUAACCUUGGUUUUUAAUUAAAAUGUGAUAGUCCAAUUCAAUAAUUCUCUUGUGAAGGAUUGAAUUCCUCAGGUUUCUAUUGCUGCAAGGUAUUGUGAUUCUUUUAUACAAUACCUGAAUUUGUGAACUCAGGUUGAAUCUUUUUAUAUCUUGAACUCGAGAAUUUCUGUUAUAUCACUUCAGAACUUUCAUUGUUAUUAUUACUUGCUGAGCAUUGUUGCUCACUCUUGCUAUUCUCUUUUAACCAUUCCAGAAAGGCUUAAAGAUGAGUGGCUAGACUAUGAUUGCGAGUAAGGCUAAGGCUAGACGAGGAGUCAGAGGUGUUAAGGAUCCAGUGGUUGAGAAGUGUUCAG